rnacentral:rRNA from 1 species
GAUGAACGCUGGCGGCGUGCCUAAUACAUGCAAGUCGAGCGAACAGACGAUGAGCUUGCUCCGCUGACGUGAGCGGAGGACGGGUGAGUAACGCGUGGAUAACCUACCUAUAAUACGGGUAUAACUUCGGGAAACCGGAUCUAAUACCGGAUAAGAUAUUGAUCCGCAGGGGGGAUUGGUGAGAGACGGUGGUGGGGGCUCGAAUAGAUGCAUCCGCGCCGGAUUAGCUGGUUGUUAAGGUAACGGCUUACCAAGGCGACGAUGCGUAGACGAACGGUGAGGGUGGUCGGCGACACUGGAGCUGAACCGCGCUCCAGACUACUGCGGGAGGCACCAGUAGGGAACGGGCGGCAAUGGGCGAGAGCAUGACGGAGCAACGCCGCGUGAGUGAUGACGGUGUUCCGAUCGUAAAACUCUGUUAUUAGGGAAGAACCAAUGUGUAAGUAACUAUGCACGUAUUGACGGUAACUAAUAAGAAAGCAACGGCUAACUACGUG